UUCGCAAUGCCCGAAAGGGUGACAAUGCGACGCCGCGUGUGUGAUGAAGGUCUUCGGAUUGUAAAACACUGUCGGCCGGAAGGAAUCUCCGGAGGUUUAACAAAUCUUCGGGGUGACAGUACCGGCAAAGGAAGCCACGGCUAACUCCGUGCCAGCAGCCGCGGUAAGACGAACCGUGCGAACGUUAUUCGGAAUCACUGGGCUUAAAGCGCGUGUAGGCGGAGGGGAACGUCGGUGACUGAAAGCCCCCGGCUCAACCGGGGAAGGGGUGCCGAAACGACCACUCUGGAGGGACGUAGGGGGACCUGGAACUUCCGGUGGAGCGGUGAAAUGCGUUGAGAUCGGAAGGAACGCCCGUGGCGAAAGCGAGGUCCUGGACGUCUGCUGACGCUGAGACGCGAAAGCUAGGGGAGCAAACGGGAUUAGAUACCCCGGUAGUCCUAGCCGUAAACGAUGGGCACUAAGUAGAGGGGUUUU
rnacentral:rRNA from 1 species